GGGUAAAGGUGUUUGCAGCAUGAGCCUGGUGGCUUGAGUUUGAUCCCCAGAACCCACAUGGUGAGACGAGAGAACAUCUCACAUAUGCACACAGUAGCAUGCACGUGCCCCUCCCCACACACACCUUGCAUGAACAAUAAAUUAAUAUUUUAAUGAAGAUAUCAAAAGCAUUAAUGCUCUAUUCUUAAUUACAGCCUGUGUUUCCUAUGACUGCAUAAAGAGAAGAGUAAUUUAAAAUUAUCUGCCCCAGGAUGAUGUCAUGAUUCACAUAUCAGCAUUGUCUCAAGAAUCUUCACUUCUACUGUUCAAUAUUGACUUUUGUUCAAUAGGAUGAAAAAAGUGGAGAUAACUUGAGGGAGCUCACCAGACAAGGCACAAGAGUCUUAACACUGCGAUGACCUACAAGACUGGCCUGUUGAUUGUUGAUGUUUCCUCAUGGAUGGGAUAAGAAGGUUCCCCAGGGCCUCACCUGAGUCAGAGUCCUUACAAAAACAACCCCUGCGGAAUGUGGAGGAUGUGAAAACCAGAGCGGGUGGCUGGCUGCUAAGACAGUCUACAAGUUCAAACGCAGCUCUGAGAGGAAUUGGAAUAAUUGCUUUGGUUCACUGUAGUGCCAGGGAUAGCAAUAUCUACUAAAAUAUGGUUUAAAAGAAAAGCACCCAAAUUAAAAACUCCAGUGAGUUCCCCUCUGCAGCCUUCUUGUCCUGAGGGCUGCCCCCAUCAUCCCGUCAUCUGUAGAAGGCCUCCACUGCUCCCUCUACUCUUUCCUUAAAUCCCAUCUCCCACUUCUACCCUUCUUUCUGCCUUCAGACUCUGUACAUGCAAGCUCACUCUAAGUACUCAAUACAAAUAGGCAUUCAUGAGGAUGGGACAGGCAGAUAUCUGUGAAUUCAGGGCCAGCCUGGUCUACAUAGUGAAAGAGGCAGAGAAGGAAAGAAGGAGGGUGGGAGGGAAAGAAGGAGAGAAAGAGGAAAUUAGGCUCAAGUCUUCACAGAUUGGACCCUGGAAGCUGGCACUCCAGCAGGACAGAGCAGCUGGCCCAGCACAUCUGCUAAAGUCAUGUUACCGGCAGCAACCUGCACAGUCAUGCCUCCGUGAUCCCUGGCUCCCUUCUAGAACUGGGCACCUGAACUAGCAAAGGCUUUUCUAUGUUUUCUUCAGUGCACAUACAAUUAGCUUUUCCAGUCCUGUCAGAGGCCUGAGGCAACCUACAGAAAUGGCUCACUGUUCUCUUGACCCAAAAGAUCCAAUAAAACCAUGCAAAUCAGUAGCGUCAAAUGUCCUCAUUAAGAAUGCUGUGAGACUGCCCAGGCCGCCAGAGGUAAACACAGAACCAUCCACCAUGUCUGAAAGAUGCUUCUGUAAGGAAGCUCCAUGUGCUAUGUGAAGGUGCAGUCACUGUCCUCACGCCGAACAGUGGGAGGGCGGCCCCAGAAGAGUGCAUAGAGUACUGCUUAGGUAGAUGACUAGGGGAUGAGGACUUAGGGGUUGACUGGUCAAGGCUCCCGAGAUGUGCCCCCAAGCCUACAGAGCUCAGAAUCAAAAAAAAAAAAACCCGGGAAACACGGAUAUGAUCCUGGUGGGAAAGGAACAAAUCCAGAAGAGGAGGCUGUGCAGAAGAGAUGUCCCAGAAGAAAGGAAGAAGCCGACCUCAUAGUUUCAUAGAAUAAUGCAUUUGUUCUCAUUUCUAUUCGCUGCCAAGAGAAAUUCAGCAAAACUUAAAUAGUCUCUCAAGCAGCAGUUUAUGUUGCCUCUGUGAAGAGUACAAACUGGCAGGGGUCUCCUCCAGGACUGAGGUCCCGAAGACAAGUGUGGAUUCUCCCGGCAUCUCCAGCUAACCCAGUGUCUAUUGAAGUGAUCACAAGUAAAGUGUUCAAUGAAUGCUGGAGGCUGGGGGGAGGAAUCCACUUGUGGCCAGGUGGAGGUAACUGGGCCAUAUCCAUUACAUAACUAACGUGGCAAAAUGUCCCAUCUGAGAAAUGCCAAAGUCAUCCCUUCACAUUUGUCUGACAAGGAUCUAAUUUAUGCACUGGAAUCCAAAUUCAAACGAGUCCUGAGCUUCUCUUUUUCCAUGUAAAUUAGACAGGGUGGCAAGGCGGGGCAUUUCCUCACAGAAAGGCUCCCUUUCAAAGGAAGGCAAAGAGCCAUUUGUAACUGUUGCCCUCCCAUGGCAGCUGCUAUUUAAAUUCUGUGGCAGGAUUCUAUUGUAAAAUUGUAUCUUACCUAAGAAAGUUGAAACAGGUUUCACAAACAACAGGCAAAUCUAGACAAAUGAAACGUGGACUGUCGCCCUCAAGCUUACAAACAGGUAGCAGCAUUCCUUCAAAGACUGAAGAGCAACGAGGGGUGACAGAGGAAUUGUGGAAGAUGUGCAGAUGGUGGCUAUGGGCAGGGCAUGGUGUGGAACCUCCAUUGCGAACCACCAUCAGUAAGUCCCAGCCAGGGAAGCAAACAGCAGAGAGAGCAAGAGAAUCUAACAUUUCAGGCUCAGUCAGGGCUCAUUGGUGCUGUGCUGUGCUAAGUUGGUGGGCCAUAUUGGAGCUAUGGACUCCAGCCUUCCUCUUGCCUUGAUUCCUCAACCCUCUUUGACUCCUUCUCUUCCUAAGCACACACACACACAGAGAGAGAGAGAGAGAGAGAGAGAGAGAGAGAGAGAGAGAGAGAGAGGGAGAGAGAGAGAGAGGAAAAAGAGACUUCAAUGGUGUGUGCCCUUAGGUAAAAGAAGAGGGUACCCACUAGGGGAUUGUAACUGCCUUCAGUUCUCUGACUGAAACUUCAUUACUCAAACUGCAAACUAAACUUUUAUCAGUGAGCAGGAGAACGAAAACUAAACCCUAUACCACAGUCCAGAGGAACGUUGUGUGGCCUUCAGCCUUGAUCAUUUCCUCUGAGAAUCAUUUAUGCUCCCCCAAAAGUGCCCACAUCCCCCCUUCCUCUCCUCUAUGAAGAGAGUAUUAAAGUUACAACCACCAGGCAAAGAGGUGUCAUGUAGCUUCUGAAGACACUGUAUGAACAAAAAAAUAAGAUCCAAGAAAGCCAAUAAUGCCUUAGAAUUAUUACAAAUAGAGGUGGAUCUUUCUUACUCUCCUCUCAAAAGACCCAGAGAAGCCACAGAGGUGCCCAGACCAGGUUCUGGGCCUAUGACUCCUGUCACCUAGGCAUGGCCUGCUAUUUGGCUGCUGUUCACUGAGCCGGCAAGUCCCAAAUACAUGGCAUAUGCAGGAAACUCUCUCGAUUGCUAAUGCUUUCUCGACAAAUGUGACUACUUUCCAAGUACCAACAGCUUGAUCAGUAGAGCCAGCAUUUCUAAGCUACUUGGAUCCCAGGCUGUUUGAUAGACUUACUGAGAAGGGCAAAGAAGAGACACGUAGGAUAUUAGGAAAAGCCCUGCAGCCCUGCAGCCCAUUUUCCACAUUAGGGCAAAGCAGGAAGCCACCUAGCUCACUGGCUCAGGACCCACGAGCCAGUAGGUGAGUAGAGGUUUGCGCUUAAUGUCUAUAAUGCUGGACAAAUACAUAGAGACAAAAACAGACCGAGAAUUAGGAGGUGGGGGUUUGGUGAUGGUUCAGCUAGUAAAACUCUUGCAAGCCUAAGAGCCUGAGCUCAGAUUCUCAGCACCCACAUUUAAAAAAAAAAAAAAAAAAAGAAU